UCGCGUGAUCAUGGCAUUGAGGAAACACCCGUUCCCAUCCCGAACACGGCAGUUAAGCUCAAUAGCGGCGGAAGUACUUGGAGGGCAGCCUCCCGGCAGAUAUGCACGUUGCGCGGA
rnacentral:rRNA from 1 species